rnacentral:snRNA from 2 species
GUGCUCACUUUGGCAGCACAUAUACUUAAAUUGGAAUGAUACAAAGAAGAUUAGCAUGGCCCCUGCUCAAGGAUGACAUGCAAAUUGGUGAAGCAGUUCAUGUUUUU